UGCCAUAAAUUCAUUGAAACACUGGUUCUCAUAUGAUCACUAAUCAAAUUAAGCAAUAUUGAGACUGGUCAGUACCUAGAUGUGUGACUGCUUGGGAAUACCAGGUGCUGUAAG